GAUGAACGCUAGCGGCAGGCUUUAACACAUGCAAGUCCGAGGGGUAGAGGAAGCUUGCUUCCUUGAGACCGGCGCACGGGUGCGUAACGCGUAUGCAACCUACCUUUUACAGAGGGAUUAGCCCCAGAGAAAUUUGGGAUUAAUACCUCAUAGUAUGUGAGAAUCGCAUGGUUUUCACAUUAAAGUUCCAACGGUAAAAGAUGAGCAUGCGUCCCAUUAGCUAGAUGGUAAGGUAACGGCUUACCAUGGCGACGAUGGGUAGGGGUCCCUGAGAGGGAGAUCCCCCACACUGGUACUGAGACACGGACCAGACUCCUACGGGAGGCAGCAGUGAGGAAUCUUCCACAAUGGGCGAAAGCCUGAUGGAGCAACACCGCGUGAAGGAUGAAGGCCCUCGGGUCGUAAACUUCUUUAUAAGUGAAGAAUAUGACGGUAACUUAUGAAUAAGGGUCGGCUAACUACGUG
rnacentral:rRNA from 1 species